UAUUAAUUGAAAGUUCAGUCAGUAGAACAUGAGAGACUUAAUCUCAGGGUCAUGGGUUUGAACCCCACAUUGAGCCAG